UGGUUCGUGGUUUGAGGGCACUGUCUAUCACGUCAGAGGACUCACCAUGGAAAUAUCUUGAGACAGAUGGUCACAUUGCUUUCCCAGUCAGGAGUCAGAAAGAGGAACUUGUGAGCCUGAAGGAAGAUUUCUUCUCCAGGAGCAUGACAUCUGCACAAGUGCUUCACCUUAAAAGCUCAUUUAUCCAAGGACCUCUCUCAUGCUGAGCUUUGUAAAUGACCAGCUUCGUGCAGUUUGCUAGAAAGAGGUAAAAUGCAAUUUCUGAUCUUUCAGGAAAAUAUUUUCCUGUAAUGGAGUGAUUGAGUACAAGGUACUACUGAUAAGGUUUCUAAUAACCUCCUAGAGAUUAGAGAGAAAA